AUUCAAAUAGCUUAUAAAUUAGAGCGUUACACUGAAGAUGUAAAAGAAAUUUUUGAAUUUUUGAAUA
rnacentral:tRNA from 1 species